rnacentral:rRNA from 1 species
GAGGAAUAUUGGACAAUGGGUGAAAGCCUGAUCCAGCCAUCCCGCGUGAAGGAUGACGGUCCUACGGAUUGUAAACUUCUUUUGUACAGGGAUAAACCUAGUCUCGUGAGACUAGCUGAAGGUACUGUACGAAUAAGCACCGGCUAACUCCGUGCCAGCAGCCGCGGUAAUACGGAGGGUGCAAGCGUUAUCCGGAUUUAUUGGGUUUAAAGGGUCCGCAGGCGGGCCGAUAAGUCAGUGGUGAAAUCUCAUAGCUUAACUAUGAAACUGCCGUUGAUACUGUCGGUCUUGAGUAAAUUAGAGGUAGCUGGAAUAAGUAGUGUAGCGGUGAAAUGCAUAGAUAUUACUUAGAACACCAAUUGCGAAGGCAGGUUACCAUGAUUUAACUGACGCUGAGGGACGAAAGCGUGGGGAGCGAAC